GCGGGACAAGUGCUGGAGUGGCUGUUGAACCCCGGCCUGGCUCGGGAGAAGGCGUCCCUGCCUGCAGCUUGCUGGGCAGGCUGCGAACGGGGGCGCUGUCUUCAGAGCCCCGGGCCUGAGGCAGCUGCAUGCGCGCCUCGGGGGGAGGGGCUGGGGCAGCAUCGCGCGGCUCCUGCGCCGCCCUCCGCCUGGACGCGCCGUCUACCACGACCCGGCGGGUCCCUUGUCCCCGUCUGUGCUCUCCGCACCCGCCCCGGGCCGGGAGACUCAGAGGCGGGGCAGAAGGGGGCGGAUGUGACGUGCCCUCAGGACAGCUGGGAGGAGGCGGGACAGACACUCGUCCGCCCCGAGCAGUGAGCACCCCGCUUGUAAGAGAGGCAGUGGCUGUAGGCAGGUUUUUUUAGGAAAGUCUACCCGCUAUGGAUCCCGAGUGAAUAGCAGCCUCCGUGCAGUUCUGACCUAACCCCAAAAGCCUGGACCCACUGGUCUCAGUCAUGGCCCUAACCACUGGGAAAGACUACCCACAGGAAGCCAACAAACCAGGAUGGAAUAAUCUACCUGCUGGGUUGCCUAUUCUACAGAGGCAUGGAAAAAUGCUGACAGAAAGAGAAAUGCCACUUUCCAAUACUCCAAAGUAUAGACAGAAAAGACACCACCUGAUGCUAUCCACUGUUACUUAUCACUGUUUACUCUAUCCUGGUGUACUACAUGAUGGUUCAACUAAGGUUGUGUUGAUACUAUUACCAGACUGGAUAUCAAUAGAUUGAAAUACUGACAACAACUAGCACUGUGCAAGUUGUAUAAGGUUUUUUUUUUUCCCCAUGAGCAAGUAGUCCAUUCCUCUGUCCAGACAAAUACAAAAAUUUUGUUGGCAGUGGUAAUUUUGAAGCCAAGAAUGCCAUUGCUCCAUUGAGGUCUUUCCAAGACUUGAAAAGCUACAGCAUCACUUAAUCUUGAGUUGUUUAAUAUCUCCUCUGGUAAUCACUGUCCCCUCCUGUUAUAAUACACGUAGACUGCUGUGACUCUAUUAGCUGUUCUCUCUGGAAUUUCACUACAAGUGAUUGCUAGAACAAGGAGUGUACAUUACAGAACUACAGCGAGAAGGGACGAGCUGCUCAGUGUGGCUUGUCAUGUCACUGAGCCCUACUAGCUGAUCAGAAAUUAGUAGUAUUCUUAUUUCUUCUUUUCCAAGGCAAAGGCAAACUAGUUCAGCUCUAGUACUUAUAUGGUCUGAGUUGUGGUGAAUAGAAUGCUUCCUUUUAAUUUUAAAAAAAGCUAUUAUUCUUGUAAUUCAACAUUAGCCUCAACUAAAAGUUACUGUUCUAUUUA